rnacentral:rRNA from 1 species
CCGUACGGAAUCUGCGCGUAAGCGCACGUAGCGGUUAUAUAGUGGGAUGUGAAACCCCGGGCUUAACUGGGACUUGCAUACCAGACUGUGUGACUAGAGUAUGAUAGAGGGUGGUGGAAUUUCCGGUGUAGCGGUGAAAUGCGUAGAGAUCGGAAGGAACAUCAGUGGCGAAGGCGGCCACCUGGAUUAAUACUGACGCUGAGGUGCGAAAGCGUGGGGAUCAAACAGGAUUAGAUACCCUGGUAGUCCACGCCGUAAACGAUGAGAACUAGCCGUUGGAUUCCUUAGAGGAUUUAGUGGCGCAGCUAACGCGAUAAGUUCUCCGCCUGGGGAGUACGGCCGCAAGGUUAAAACUCAAAUGAAUUGACGGGGGCCCGCACAAGCGGUGGAGUAUGUGGUUUAAUUCGACGCAACGCGAAAAACCUUACCAGGCCUUGACAUCCACGGAAUCUUGCAGAGAUGCGGGAGUGCCUUCGGGAACCGUGAGACAGGUGCUGCAUGGCUGUCGUCAGCUCGUGUCGUGAGAUGUUGGGUUAAGUCCCGUAACGAGCGCAACCCUUGCCCUUAGUUGCCAGCACGUAAAGGUGGGAACUCUAAGGGGACUGCCGGUGACAAAUCGGAGGAAGGCGGGGAUGACGUCAAGUCAUCAUUGGCCUUACGGCCUGGGCUACACACGUACUACAAUGGACGGUACAGAGGGCAGCAAGAACGAGAGGUGGAGCCAAUCCCUUAAAAGCCGUACGUAGUCCGGAUUGCAGUCUGCAACUCGACUGCUUGAAGUCGGAAUCGCUAGUAAUCGCCGAUCAGGAUGCUGGGGUGGAAUACGGUCCCGGGCCUUGUACAAAACG